CUACGGGAGGCAGCAGUGGGGAAUAUUGCACAAUGGAGGAAACUCUGAUGCAGCAACGCCGCGUGGAGGAUGACACUUUUCGGAGCGUAAACUCCUUUUAUAUAGGAAGAAGAUGACGGUACUAUAUGAAUAAGCGCCGGCUAACUCCGUGCCAGCAGCCGCGGUAAUACGGCGGGCGCAAGCGUUACUCGGAAUCACUGGGCGUAAAGAGCGUGUAGGCGGAUUAAAAAGUCAGAAGUGAAAUCCUAUAGCUUAACAAUAGAACUGCUUCUGAAACUCUUAAUCUAGAAUAUGGGAGAGGUAGAUGGAAUUUCUGGUGUAGGGGUAAAAUCCGUAGAGAUCAGAAGGAAUACCGAUUGCGAAGGCGAUCUACUAGAACAUUAUUGACGCUGAGACGCGAAAGCGUGGGGAGCAAACAGGAUUAGAUACCCCCGUAGUC
rnacentral:rRNA from 1 species